AAAUGAAUAGACGGGGACCCGCACAAGCAGCGGAGCAUGUUGUUUAAUUCGAGGCAACGCGAAGAACCUUACCAAAUCUUGACAUCCCACUGACCGCAUCUGUAAAGGAUGCCUCUACUUCGGUAGCAGUGGAGACAGGUGGUGCAUGGUUGUCGUCAGCUCGUGUCGUGAGAUGUUGGGUUAAGUCCCGUAACGAGCGCAACCCCUAUUUUUAGUUGCCAUCAGGUAAAGCUGGGCACUCUAAAGAGACUGCCAGAGACAAUCUGGAGGAAGGUGGGGAUGAUGUCAAAUCAUCAUGCCCUUUAUGAUUUGGGCUACAAACGUGCUACAAUGGUCGGUACAGCAGGUUGCGAAACCGCAAGGUGGAGCUAAUCUCCAAAGCCGAUCCCAGUUCGGAUUGAGGGCUGCAACUCGCCCUCAUGAAGUUGGAGUUGCUAGUAAUCGCGAAUCAGCAUGUCGCGGUGAAUGCGUUCCCGGGUCUUGUACACACCGCCCGU
rnacentral:rRNA from 1 species